rnacentral:lncRNA from 1 species
CUUGAAUAUUUUGUGAACAAAAAUGCUCAAUAAAGAGGAUAUUGAAUUGCAAACAACAAAAGCACAAGAACAAGGAGUUGCCAAUUUAAAUGAGGAUUGGAUGAAAUGAACAUUUCUCUCCAUAACCAACGAUUAUCAAUUGUCAUACUGCUAGGUCCCUGUGACACAGAAGAAAUAUGUCGUAACUAGUCUAUGGUUGAGUGAAACUAUAAUGCAGAUAUGGUCAGUGUAAGAGCAUAGUGCAGAAAUAUAUUUUUUAAUUUGUGUGAAAAUGUGGAUGUAUGUGAAAGAUGGGGGUUCAUAGAUAAGUGUGGCAAUUAUUGAAAAUUGUUGUGGUUCACCAGCAUGUUCACCAAGGACAUAGAUUAAUUAACACUCACUGGGGGUUGCAGUCAUUAAUUCCCCUACAAUCAGAAAGUGAAUGACAUAAUCCUUUGUUCUACUCCAGAAUCCUCAAGAGACAGGAUUCCAAGUGCAGAAAGCCACGAGUACUGAUCAAGAGAACAUAUCUUUCUGUUUGGAACUCGGGGACGGGGCGGAGCAUCCUCUGAGAAGCUUGGAUUUGAGCUGUGCCUGGCCACUCUUGGGGGAGGGGCUGCAUUUCACGAGGCUGCAGCUGACAAGAAGCUUCAAGGUAAUGGCUGUCUUAAAGCUAGUUUUUUUUCUGGGAUUUCUUUGGGCUUUAGUGUUAC